CCCUCCCGCCCAGACCCUCCCAACUCCUGGACAACAUCCAUUGUGAAGCUGCAUUCUUGGUGAGCUGUCCAGGAGGUGGGAGGGUCUGGGAGGGAGGG